rnacentral:rRNA from 1 species
ACCCGCUGAACUUAAGCAUAUCAAUAAGCGGAGGAAAAGAAAAUAACAAUGAUUCCCCUAGUAACUGCGAGUGAAGAGGGACAAGCUCAAAUUUUAAAUCCAUCGGGUUUUACCUGAUCGAGUUGUAAUUUGAAGAAGCGUUUUCUGCGUAUUUGGUCAGCCUAAGUCCUAUUGAAUGAGGCAUCAUGGAGGGUGAUAAUCCCGUCCGGUUGAUCAUUUGCGUUUUACGAUACGCUUUCUAAGAGUCAAGUUGUUUGGGAUUGCAGCUUAAAAUGGGAGGUAAAUUUCUCCUAAGGCUAAAUAACGGCGAGAGACCGAUAGCGAACAAGUACCGUGAGGGAAAGAUGAAAAGAACUUUGAAAAGAGAGUUAAACAGUACGUGAAAUUGUUGAAAGGGAAACGAUUGAAGCCAGUCGUACCUUCGGGUAAUCAGCCUUUCGGGUGCGAUUCUGUGGGGUUUGAGGAGCUUAACACCUUCAUGCUUUGCAUAUUCGUGCUCUUGGGUGUACUUGCCCGUGUGGUUGGUUAACAUCAAUUUCGGGCACCAUAAAAUGGCUGGAGGAAUGUAGCUUCGAUCUUGUAUUGAAGUGUUAUAGCCUUCGGUAGAUGUGGUGAUCGAGAUUGAGGAUUGCAACGGAUACCUUUCGGGGCUACCUGUCUGAUCUCUGAUCGUUGCUUUGUUGCUGAAAGCGUGCUUAUAGUUAUCAAAGUCGAUGGUCAAUAGGUUAGAAUGGGUUAAAUUCGUUAAGGAUGUUGACGUAAUGGCUUUAAACGACCCGUCUUGAAACACGGACCAAGGAGUCUAACAUAUAUGCGAGUGUUAGGGUAAUUAAACCCUUACGCGUAAUGAAAGUAAUUUUGGUGGGAACACUUUUGUGCACCAUCGACCGAUCAGGAUAUUUUUUGAUAGAUUUGAGUAAGAGCAUAUUUGCUAGGACCCGAAAGAUGGUGAACUAUGCCUGAAUAGGGUGAAGUCAGAGGAAACUCUGAUGGAGGCUCGUAGCGGUUCUGACGUGCAAAUCGAUCGUCAAAUUUGGGUAUAGGGGCGAAAGACUAAUCGAACCAUCUAGUAGCUGGUUCCUGCCGAAGUUUCCCUCAGGAUAGCAGAAACUCGUUAACAGUUUUAUGAGGUAAAGCGAAUGAUUAGAGGCCUUAGGGUUGAAACAGCCUUAACCUAUUCUCAAACUUUAAAUAUGUAAGAAGUUUAUCGUUACUUAAUUGAACGUGAACAUUCGAAUGAGAGUUUCUAGUGGGCCAUU